AGAAGACAGGCAUCAUCAUUCCAGUGUGCAUUCUGCUCGUGUUGAUCGCUUUGGUCGCAGCAGGCGUCGCCGUUAGCAGGAGAAGAUGGAACCAACAUAAAAUCCCUCAGCAGCAGCAGCAGCAGCAGCAACAACAGCAGCAGCAGCAGCAGCAGCAGGAGGAGGAG